rnacentral:rRNA from 1 species
GACGUAGGAUGCAAGCGUUGUCCGGAUUUAUUGGGCGUAAAGAGUUCGUAGGCUGUUUGUUAAGUCUGAUGUUAAAGACUGGGGCUCAACCUCGGAAAUGCAUUGGAUACUGGCAGACUGGAGUGCAGUAGAGGCUAGUGGAAUUCCCAGUGUAGCGGUGAAAUGCGUAGAUAUUGGGAAGAACACCGGUGGCGUAGGCGACUAGCUGGGCUGUAACUGACGCUGAGGAACGAAAGCCAGGGGAGCGAAUGGGAUUAGAUACCCCAGUAGUCCUGGCCGUAAACGAUGGAUACUAGGCGUAGUGGGUAUCGACCCCUGCUGUGCCGCAGCUAACGCGAUAAGUAUCCCGCCUGAGUAGUACGGCCGCAAGGUUGAA